UACGAAGGGGGCUAGCGUUGCUCGGAAUCACUGGGCGUAAAGCGCACGUAGGCGGCUUUUUAAGCCAGGGGUGAAAUCCUGGAGCUCAACUCCAGAACUGCCUUUGAUACUGAGAAGCUUGAGUCCGGGAGAGGUGAGUGGAACUGCGAGUGUAGAGGUGAAAUUCGUAGAUAUUCGCAAGAACACCAGUGGCGAAGGCGGCUCACUGGCCCGGUACUGACGCUGAGGUGCGAAAGCGUGGGGAGCAAACAGG
rnacentral:rRNA from 1 species